rnacentral:tRNA from 1 species
GUUUAAAUAGUUUAACAAAAACUCUGGUCUUGUAAACCAAAAUUAUAUUUUUAUUUUAAACU